CCAAUCCUGAUGUGUUCGUCUAUUAAAAGUGUUUUGACCGAACAACUUUAUACUUGGGAGCUCGAAGUUGUUUUUAUGUUGCGUGCAUGCCCCGUUUUUAUAUCCGGGGAAGCAUAACAUACAUAAAACAGAGCACCCACCUGCCUGGAGCGGGAUCAAAACUUAAAGUUAGACGGCACAAUUGGGAUUGAU
rnacentral:other from 1 species